GUAGUCGUCGCCGAGUGGUUAAGGCUAUGGAUUCGAAAUCUAUUGGGGUUUCCCCACGCCGGUUCGAGUCCAGCCGACUACG